rfam:Labilithrix luteola strain DSM 27648, complete genome.
GCACGGGUGGCGAAAUUGGCAGACGCAGCGGAUUUAGGUUCCGCCGCCGCAAGGCGUGGGGGUUCAAGUCCCUUCCCGUGCA